CCUACGGGAGGCAGCAGUGAGGAAUAUUGGUCAAUGGCCGGAAGGCUGAACCAGCCAAGUCGCGUGAGGGAAUAAGGCCCUAUGGGUCGUAAACCUCUUGUGUCAGGGAGCAAAGGCGUCCACGAGGGGACGAAAGGAGAGUACCUGAAGAAAAAGCAUCGGCUAACUCCGUGUCAGCAGCCGCGGUAAUAGGGAGGAUGCGAGCGUUAUCCGGAGUUAGUGGGGUUAAAGGGUGCGUAGGCGGAGUGUCAAGUCAGCGGUAAAAUUUCGGGGCUCAACCCCGUCGUGCCGUUGAAACUGACACCCUUGAGUGAGUGAGAAGUAAGCGGAAUGCGUGGUGUAGCGGUGAAAUGCAUAGAUAUCACGCAGAACGCCGAUUGCGAAGGCAGCUUACCGGCGCUCAACUGACGCUGAGGCACGAAAGUGCGGGUAUCGAACAGGAUUAGAUACCCUAGUAGUC
rnacentral:rRNA from 1 species